rnacentral:sRNA from 1 species
AACAACAUGAAAGGAGGUGAUCCAGUGUCUCAUUGUCUCAAAGUGGCGCCGUUUGCCGUGGCCUGGAUCUCCGACGCUCGCGUCGCGCUCUAGGCCCCAUCGGGGCAACGACGCCCUCAGACAAUGCCGAAGGCUCCGGAAGGCGACUUCCGGAGCCU